rnacentral:rRNA from 1 species
UACUUGAGUGGCGAACGGGUGAGUAACACGUGGGUGAUCUGCCCUGCACUCUGGGAUAAGCCUGGGAAACUGGGUCUAAUACCGGAUAGGACCAUGCUUUAGUGUGUGUGGUGGAAAGUUUUUUCGGUGUAGGAUGAGCCCGCGGCCUAUCAGCUUGUUGGUGGGGUAAUGGCCUACCAAGGCGGCGACGGGUAGCCGGACUGAGAGGUUGGUCGGCCACAUUGGGACUGAGAUACGGCCCAG